CUGAGCCUGUUUUGUGGGAGGUUGUCCGUGGAGGAGGGCGUCUGAGGCGCUGAGCGGCGUCCCGGGGGGCCCCGAGGGGCCCUGGCCCACCCUGGGGGCCCACAAGCUGCAGCCCUGCCUCCUGGAGCUCUGCAAGUUCUUCUCCCAGUGCCUCUGCAGAGCCGACCAGCCCAGGACCCCCCAGAGAAGGUACUGUGACGACAGUGACCUCUGGUACCGCAAACACACGUCAGAGCUGUGCGGUCGCCUCAAACGCAUCGCCUUCUCCAGGAACCUCAAACAGAGAUGCCUGGCCAAGAUGUGCGGUCGACCGUGACGCCAGGAGCGGGGAUCGCGGAGGACGAGGCUGCUGGGAGACAAAGAGCUUUUCAUCGGCACGCGGCGGGAACCAGCGUGCGCAUGAGUCCGUGCACGUGACCACCGACCUCCCCCAACUCCUUACCCCCACCCCCUAACCCCCCACGGCAGACCACAUCCCCCUUAAAAAGCACCGUUGGAAUCCAGACUUUUAACUUUUUUUGUUCAUUUCCAUCCUCAUAUUAUUCUUGUGUGACAAAGCGCUCCAAAAGUCUUUGUAACUAUGAAUUCUAGACCCACUAGCACCAAUCUCCUCAUUCCUUUAUCCCUCAUCUUGUUUUACUUGGCAAGAAAAUCUGAAUAGAUCACUCUGGAGGUGCGCGCUAUCAACAAGACCCUUCACGUCGGAAUCAGUGGCCCGAUCCUUAGAUAGGUUAAACACAGGACAUGCAGUCAGACUAAACGGGUCGUAUUAACAAAACGGGCAAAGCCCGGUCAUCUAUCUCCAAUCCAGAACAGGAAAUUAAAAGUGAUACGAGGUGUGUAGAGUCAGACGGUUCAAUGGAACCACUGGAGCCAGAACAGUGGUCUCCGCUCCGGAGACGGAAAUAAUCAGAGGAACCAUCCCAGAAUAAUACCCCAUCCUCUAUUACCACGUGCUCUGUGUGGCUCUGUGCAUAUUCAUCCAUCCUCCUCUCAAGAGGUUAAAAUUAAUGAGAAGAGACGCUCCUCAGCUUUUCUCUUGCUGAUAUGUUGUGAUGAAUCAAAGGUUUUGGAAAUAUUUGAAACUAGUUCAUGUUCAAUAUGGAAUAUUUUGCUGUAAUUAACACCUACUCACCUGGUUUUGUUACCUAAACUCCCCUGGUGUCAUUACCUAAACUCACCUGGUGUCGUUACCUAAACUAAUUUGGUGUCAUUCCCUAAACAAACCUGGUUUCAUUACCUCAACUUACUUGGUGUUACCUAAACUCACCUGGUGUCAUUACCUAAACUCACCUGUGGUUACUUAAACUCACCUGGUGUUGUUACCUAAACUCACCUGGUUUCGUUACCAAAACUCACCUGGUGUCAUUACCUAAGCUCACUGGGUUUCGUUACCUAAACUCACCUGGCAUCAUUACCACCCUUACCUGCAUUAAUGAAGAAUCCUUGAGCGAUAGAAAGACAGAACGUAUGUUGUUAAUAUUUGUAAAUGUUUUUUUUUAGAUGCGUGUUUACUUCAAGAGUUAAGAGACAUGUAGAGUGCAUGUCGUCAUAUCCAUAUUCAAUAAUAAACU